rnacentral:tRNA from 1 species
UGGAAGCUUAGUUCAGCUGGUCAGAGCAGCUAUCUCAUAAAUAGCAGGUCAUGGGUUCGAGUCCCAUAGCUUCCAU